rnacentral:tRNA from 3 species
GGGACUUUAGCUCAUGGUUGGUUAGAGCGGCGGGCUCAUAACCUGUUCAGGCGCCUGGUUCGACCCCAGGAAGUCCCACCA